CCUGGCAAGGUGAACUUCAAUGAGAUAGUAUGUGCAUACAGAGCAAUUAGACUAUAAGAAAUACUGUUCAGGGGAACCAACUAGAAUUAUAGGUGCACACUGGUGGCAAGACAACAAAGAGAGAGAUACCACCAACAAGCCAUUCAUACAAUAAGCCAAGGAUUUUUUAUCUUCUCACACCGCCCUGCCUGCAAGGAGGCUGGGAGUGCACAAGAAGAUGGGAGGGGACAGAACCAGGACAGCUGACCCAAACUGGCCAAAGGGAAAAUUUGCUGCAUUGGAAACAUUUUGGAAACUUUUGCUGCAUUGAUGGAGUCACCAUCCAUGGGAGUGUUUAAGGAAAGAUCAAUAAUUGAGGACAGCUACCAGUGUAACAAAACUUAACAGAACCACUGAAAUUCCAUGAUGGACUUAGGAGGAUUUCUCAAAGCAAAAUGAUGUAAGAUUAUGAAAAAAAGAAGAAGGAACAAGAAUAAAAGUUUCAGAUGAGGAUGAAUGCAGGAGAAGGGAAGGAAGUGGUACUCUGAAACGAAGGAGUGUGGCUUUGACUUUGGAAGACCGAAAAGGUGAACAGAGAUGUUGAAAUCAGCAACAGAUCACAAAGGCAAGCAAAAGAUAACUUCACUUCAGUGGCACUUAAAUGAAAGAUGGGAAGAAUGAGAACAGUGUUGAGAGUAAUAUCUGUAUCUGGCAGACAAGAUCUAAAUAGACACUAAAGAGAAAGACAUCCAUAAAAUCUGUCUCCAAAGACCUCAAGGAACUGUCAAGUCUACAGCUGCCUGCAUUCAUGUUUUCUUGAAACUAGUGUUUAGCAGCACUGUCAGAAAUAAUGGUAAGCAAGACACAAAGGGAAAAAGAAAAAAGAAAGAAAAAAAAAAAGAAAUAAAAAAGAAAAAAAAGAAGAAAAAAGAAAAGAGAAGAGAAGAGAAGAGAAGAGAAGAGAAGAGAAGAGAAGAAGAGAAGAGAAGAGAAGAGAAGAAAGAAAAGAAAAGAAAAGAAAAGAAAAGAAAAGAAAAGAAAAGAAAAGAAAAGAAAAGAAAAGAAAAGAGAAGAAAAAAAGAGAUAAGACAUUUCCAGUGUUUGGAUUUUAGGUUUUCAAUUUUUCUGUACUCGAUGAAGAAGAACCUGUGUUCUACCCUCUUUAAGAAACAUUAUAAGAAACAUUGAUUUAUAUAAAAAUCAUCUCUUUUUUCUUCCCCAUUAAAGUUUAGGAAGUCAAGAAUCACUGAAGAUAAGGAAAGGUUCAAUUCUAUUGAUAUUUCUGGCUGAUAAACUAGGAGAAUUUAAACAGUAAACUUAGGUGUAUUCAGUCAGAUAUUAGAUGGGAAGGGAUUCUCCUGCCAGCUAUGGGAAUUUUAGAUAUAUCUAGCUUGUCUGUAUGCCAUAAUAAUGGAAUGACACGUCGUGGUAGAAAAUGAGGUAAAAAUCGUCAAGUAGUGUAAUACCUUCUGUUACUUUACAAUAUUAAAAAGAAGAAAAUGAAAAUCACUAUAAUAAUAAAACAUAAAAGCAACCAAACAUCCUCAUCUCUGGGGAAGGUCUGAGCCUGCUAUAGGUGGUCAAGCUCUGAGCUUGAGAUGAAAUGGAAGAAAUUAAGGAACAGCUGUCAUCGAACGGAGUUACUCUCAUCCAUACUGAAAUAAUAUCCUUAUUUUCUGUCUCAGAAGAGUAUCUUCUUGUUACUUUCACAAAAAGAAAUGAAUAUUAAGUUGCAUUGAGGUAGAAAAUAAAAGGAAACAUAAUUUAUAUUUUGUUUUACAGAAGUGGGAUACAUGAAAGCUAAAUCAGCUACUGCUUUUAUACUGCUUUUAGAAAACAGUAUUGCUGAGCUUCCUGCACACAAUAGAAAGUCCCUUGAGGGUUUUCUAGUUUGUACAGUAAUUGCAGAUUGUGCAAGAACUAUUCAUAAGCAACUAGAUGUAAUUGCUAGCAUUAGUGACUACAGAGAAUACAUCUGUUUUGAUCCAUAUUUUGAUAAUUUCAUGAUAAACAGUAUUUCAGUGCUCUUCAGGCCAUUUCUAGAUCAAUGUCUUCAUGUGUGGGGGCUUUUUUAACUUAUAAAUGCUUUGAUGCUUAACUGAGUUUUUCCCACUUUACUGACUCUCCUACAGAAAAGAAUAUAAUUUAAUUAGGUUGAUUGAACUUUUUUUUUUUUUUCUGAUGAAUACCUCUAAAACGUUUAUCACAUUAACUAAGAUACAUUUUUAUUCCAGAGUAUUCCCUAUGCAGAUUUUUGUUUUGUUUUGUUUUGUUUUAUUGAACUAGAAUUUUGCUAAAACAAAUUAUUGAGUAUUCAUUUCUACUGCAGUUGAAUAUUCCUUGGAUAAGAGUUAGACCAGUCAAUUAGAAGUCAGAUCAUCUGCUUUCAAUUUUUACUGUGCAAUUACAGACAAUCUGUCAGUGGUACUUUUCUCUUACAGAAGUAAAAUACUUCAGGGUUAGGAUGUUAACAAGAGACACCCAUAUGGGUUUCAGUUCCUUGCCAGUCCUUCAAGUUCUUAUAUGAACUUGAAUAUUUAUCCUCUUUGUACUGCAGCUACAUUAAUUUGUUUAAAUACUACAGAAAUGAGUUCAUCUAAGACACAUAGCUCCUCAGAUUACCAUCCCUGUAAAAUGGUGUAUACUUUUUUCCCUUUCUUUCAUGUGCUGUUUGACUAAACCCAGUUUUCAAAAACUUGUGAAACCUUAUGUAAUUUGAUGAUCAUAAAAUGAAAAAAAAAAUAAUUAACAACAGCAAAAAUCCCAGUAUUCUAAGGCCACAAAAUGUAGUCUUAAAUAUUAAUAAAUUGGUGUUUAAUUAGUCC